rnacentral:rRNA from 1 species
AUGCUUCGCCUCUCCGCCUCUUUCUCCCUCCUCGACCCUCCUUCUCUCUCCCCGUCCGUCUCCCACCUCCGCCCGCGCCGCCUACGCGCCCUCGUCGUCGCCGCCUCCGCCUCGCCUUCCGCCCGCAGCCUCCGCCUCCUCGAGUGGGGCAAGGUUUGCCGCGCCGUCGCUUCGUUCGCCGGCACCGCGCACGGCCGCGAAGCCACCGAGAAGCAGCUGUGGGGUGUGGAGAGCGUGAGCUAUGAGCGGAGCCGGAAGCUCCUCCGGGAGACUGAGGCGGCGGUGCGGCUGCUUGGCAGCUCCGGUGGGGCAUUGGAUUUCUCCGGGCUGGAUACCGUCGCGGUAGAGUCAGCAAUAAAUUGUGUCUCUGGUGGUUCCGUGAUUAAAGGUCAGGAAGCAAUGGCAGUGGUUAGCCUGAUGCUGUUCGUUGAAUCCUUGCAAGUAACUAUCAGAGCUGCUAUGAAGCAAGAUGAAGACUCGCAUAAUCUGUUACUGCCCCUUACAGAAACAAUUCUAGAUGCUGUUGUCAGUAAGCUACUAGUGAAGUCUAUACAGGAUGUCAUAGAUGAUGAUGGCUCCGUGAAAGACACUGCAAGCCCUGAGCUAAGGCGAUAUCGAGAUCAAGUUCAGGCCCUAGAGAGCAGGUUAUGCCAGCUUAUGGAUAAAUUGAUAAGGAAUGCGGACAAUGAAGCUUCCUUGUCGGAAGUAAGCAUUGUAAAUGGAAGAUGCUGCAUUAAAAUAACUGGGGAUAAGUCUUCAAGUUUUGAUGGAUUACUACUCUCCAGUGGUUCAGAUGCUGGAAGUAUGAUAGAACCAAUUAUUGCUGUUCCACUAAAUGAUGAGCUACAGGGUGCAAGAGCAUUAGUGGUUAGAGCCGAGCUUGAAGCUUUAUCGAAACUGACUGACAAGAUUCUUCUUGAGCUUGAUAAUAUUCAGAUUUUGAUGCAGGAAACAGUUACACUUGAUAAGGUCACAGCUCGUGCAAGAUACAGUAUAGCAUACGAUGGUACACUUCCUGACCUGUAUUUGCCAAACAUUGAGCAUGGAAUUGUCAAUGCGGCUAAAGAUGAGCCUGCCAGUACAACUUCCUCAGCCCAACUUACUAAGAGGCCAUGGAAACUGUUCAUUCCAAAUGCAUAUCAUCCACUAUUGCUCCAGCAGCACCAGGAAAAUUUGCGUCGUACAAAAAAGGAUGUUGCAAGUGCCACAGCGGAGAUUCGGAGGAGGAGGAUAUACGGACAAGAUAUCGCAGAGGAAGAUCAACUGGCUUCAGAACUUGAUUUCAUGAAAAUUAGGGUUUCUGAGCUCGAGAGGAACCAUCCGAUCCCAGUAGAUUUUAUGAUCGCUGAAGAGACUACUGUUUUGGUCAUAACUGGGCCAAAUACUGGGGGGAAAACAAUCAGCUUGAAGACGGUUGGGCUGGCAUCGUUAAUGGCCAAGAUAGGUCUAUACAUUCUAGCUUCUGAACCAGUUAAAAUUCCAUGGUUCGAUGCUGUUUAUGCUGACAUUGGAGAUGAGCAAUCUUUGACCCAAUCACUCUCAACAUUCUCUGGGCAUCUGAAGCAGAUUGGGGCUAUUCGCGCUCAGUCAACUUCACAAUCCUUGGUCCUUUUGGAUGAAGUUGGUGCUGGGACAAAUCCACUCGAAGGAGCUGCUUUGGGGAUGUCUCUCUUGGGGUCUUUUGCUGAAGCUGGUUCCUUUCUGACUCUAGCUACAACUCAUCACGGAGAACUAAAAACACUGAAAUACAGCAAUGAUUCAUUUGAGAAUGCAUGCGUGGAAUUUGAUGAAGAGAAUCUAAAGCCUACGUUCAGGAUACUUUGGGGAAUACCAGGGCGUUCAAAUGCAAUCAAUAUUGCUGAAAGGCUAGGUUUGCCCUUGGAUAUUAUAGAAAGUUCUCGGCACUUGCUUGGAACAGCUGGUGCAGAGAUAAAUGCGUUGAUUAUGGACAUGGAAAAAUUCAAGCAAGAAUACCAUGAACAACUUCAGCAGGCACAACAUUAUCUUAUGCAGUCCAAGGAGCUUCAUAAUGACUUGGAAGUGGCACAGAAGAGCAUUGUUGAUCACGGCAUCGCUCAGAGAAAAAGAAAGUCAAGAGUAGUUUCGGAGUAUGCUGUUAUGGCUCGUUCGAUCAUUCAUAAGAAGUUCCAGCAGUACAGAGAAUCUGCAGUAGCUCAAAGAGUGCUAGAAGAAGAGAAGGCUGCGGAGAAAGCCAAAUCUGAGGGUGCGAAAGGCCCCGAGCCAGCUAGCACUUCUGCCCCUAAAAAGACGCAGAAUACAAAUAGCAGCAUGGUCACAGAAGCUAAUGGCAAGAUAAUAGAUGAAAAUGGUGGGAUUCCAGAAGUUGGGGAUUUAGUUUACGUUCCUAAACUCAAGAACCAAGCGACCGUGGUCAAAAUAGAUUCGUCCAAAAAUGAAGUGCAAGUCCAAGCUGGCAUGAUGAAGCUCAAGCUAAAGUUGAAAGAUGUCAAGGUCCAGAAGCAGAGGACAUCAAGAUAA